ACAAAGGCUCUUUUCAGAGCCGCCCACAAUGGUCAUAAAGGGUUG
rfam:Phalacrocorax carbo contig104802, whole genome shotgun sequence.